UACGGAGGGUGCAAGCGUUAUCCGGAUUUACUGGGUUUAAAGGGUGCGUAGGCGGACUUUUAAGUCAGUGGUGAAAUCCCCGAGCUUAACUCGGAAACUGCCAUUGAUACUAUUAGUCUUGAAUUCGGUCGAGGUUGGCGGAAUGUGUCGUGUAGCGGUGAAAUGCUUAGAUAUGACACAGAACACCGAUUGCGAAGGCAGCUAGCUAGACCGACAUUGACGCUGAGGCACGAAAGCGUGGGGAUCAAACAGG
rnacentral:rRNA from 1 species